GAUGAACGCUGGCGGCGUGCCUUAUACAUGCAAGUCGAGCGAAAAGAUGAGGAGCUUGCUCCACUGACGUUAGCGGCGGGCGGAAGAGUAACAAGUGGGUAACCUAGCUAUGAGACUGGGCUAGAUUCGGGAAACAGGAGCUCAUACGGGCUAAUAUAUUAAACGGGAUAGUUCAAUAGUGAACGACGGUGGUGCUGUCGCUUAUAGAUUGGUCCGCGCCGGAUUAGCUAGUAGGUAAGGUAAAGGCUUACCAAGGCAACGAUGCGUAGCUGAUCUGAGAGGGUGACCAGCCACACUGGAACUGAGACACGGUCCAGACUCCUACGGGAGGCAGCAGUAGGGAAUCUUCGACAAUGGGCGAAAGCCUGACCGAGCAAUGCCGCGUGCGUGAUGAAGGCCUUCGGAUUGUAAACUGCUUUUAUUCGGGAAGAACAAACGUUUAAUAAACUAUGCACCUCUUGACGGUACCUAAACAGAAAGCCACGGCUAACUACGUG
rnacentral:rRNA from 1 species